rfam:Phialocephala subalpina strain TAMH 11012 genome assembly, contig: PAC_scaffold_015
GGUCCCAUAGCUCAGUUGGUUAGAGCGUGGUGCUAAUAACACCAAGGUCGCGAGUUCAACCCUCGUUGGGACCA